rnacentral:lncRNA from 1 species
CCGCCCUGCGCACCGAAUUUCUCCGGGAAUCGCCCACACGAGCCCGGAGCUGCCCUCUCCUUCCGGCGGCGGCCGCGCGGGGCCCGCUGCCCGGCCGCCCGCCCCCCGUGCCCGCGCUGCCCGGCGACGCCGCGCUCCAAGUUCGCCCGCGGCCGCACGCGCGCGCCCCGGCGGCCCGCGAGCGGUACGUACUCGGCCGGCGGCUGCAGCGGGCUGGGCGCGCGCUCCCCCGAGGACGGCUCAGCCCCGACUCCGAAGUGCCGGCCCCCGGCUCUCCCUGCUCCGGCGGCUGCGGCGGCCGGGACGCCCCCGCUCCCAUCGAGGGGGGCAGGGAAGGUGGUGGGCGCGCUCUCCCGGCUCCCCCCCCAGCUCGGGCCCGCCGCUCCUUCCUGCCCGCCAGCCCCGACGGCGCUCGCUCGGCCGCGGUGGCGGCGGCGGCUCCUCCCGGCUCGGGCGCGCGGGCGGCGGCGGCGCCUCCCCCGCCGCGUCCUCCCUCCCCUGCCCCCUCCUCUCCCUGCGCUCCCCUCCCCUCCCCGCGCGCUGCACCCUCCCCCUCCCCCGCCCGCCUCCGCCGCCCCCACCCCCCGCGCGCUGUCACAUUGGGAGAUUCCGCUCUUGCUACAUUCGCCGCUCCGGCUCCCGCCCCCGCGCGGCCGAGUGACGCAGAUCCCGGCGUGGGCCGCCGCAGGGCGGGGGCGGGGGCGGCGGCCGCAGGGGCCCGGCGCGGCCUCUUCCCGCCGCCCCCGCCGCGGGAGCCGGAGGGCGGCCCAUUCACACGGCAGCUGGGAGGAACCAAGUGGGCGCCCGGGAGGGGGCGGCUCCCCGAGUCCCGCUCCGGGCAGGGGGAGGGGGCGGGAAGGAGGGCCCCCGGGGGUGGCGGCAGAGAGGGGACGUCGCCUGGGGCCUGCUCGCCAGCUGCAGAGUGAACCGGGAAGGUUUGCAAUUAAAAAAAUUUUUUUUAUUUUAAUGUGUGAGCUUCCCAAUAUAGUAUUUCAAAGAGCACACCCCGCCAAUCCGACAUCCCCUGGGAGGCUGCCUGUAAAGAGAGAGCGCGCUCAGCCCACGAAUCUGGGCGCCGGGCUCGCCCCCACCCCCGCGGGCUGGAGGCUGGGGGCCAGGCCCCCCCACCCCGCGCCCGCGGGCCCCGGAGUCCUGCGGGAAGUGGGCUGCGACGGCUCGGGGCGGGGGCGGCAGGUGCGCGGCGCUGGAAGAAAAGCUGGUGGUUCCGAGAGAAUCUCUGCCUCGCGCAUCUUGCCCCCUCCCCACCGCCGCCCUGGCCUUGGGAGUGGGAGAGGAGGGGAGGAAUGGGAAUCGACGAACCGAAGUGCACCUUUGACAACUGUCUUGCUUGCCGGGUAA